rnacentral:rRNA from 1 species
AUUGAACGCUGGCGGCAGGCCUAACACAUGCAAGUCGAACGAGUGGCGGACGGGUGAGUAAUGUCUGGGAAAUUGCCUGAUGGAGGGGGAUAAUUACUGGAAACGGUAGCUAAUACCGCAUACCAUCGGAUGUGCCCAGAUGGGAUUGGCUAGUAGGUGGGGUAAAGGCUCACCUAGGCGACGAUCCCUAGCUGGUCUGGGAGGAUGACCAGCACCACUGGAAAUGGGAAACGGUCCAGACUCCUACGGGGAGCAACAGUGGGGAAUAUUGCACAAUGGGCGCAAGCCUGAUGCGGCCAUGCCGCGUGUAUGGAGAAGGCCUUCGGGUUGUAAAGUACUUUCGGCUGGGAGUCGUUACCCGCAGAAGAAGCACCGUCUAACUCCAUGACAGCACCCGGGGUAAUUC